rnacentral:lncRNA from 1 species
AAACCUAUGAAUAUUCAUAUUUAAUCUAAAAAUUGCAUGAAAAACACAAACAUUGAUCUUGAGGGUUUCAGUUAUUUCUUUAACUAAAUAUAUUUUUAUUUUUCUGUUGCAUUAUACUUUUAAUUUCAUGAUUAGUUUCAUAUUUGAGCUUGAGGCUGAAUCCCAACUGUCACGACCCGGUACUCCCUUCGAGCCUGUGACAACAGUCACGACGUCUCGAUGGACAUUCAUUGCCCGAAAUGUCAACCGAAACCUCGUAAGGCUUUAAUAUCAGUUUUCGCACCUCCCCUGUGAGCAACAGUUGUUAAGUAUCAUGUUUUGAGAUAUUAUAAACUAUUUCCAAAUCAAAACAAUAGAAAAAUAAUUUUUUUCUCACAGAGGCAUUUUGGUCAUUUUUCCUCAAAAAUAUCGAAACCAGCUAAAAAUGUAGUAUGCAAGUGGAAAACACAUAUUUCAUAGUAAAAAAUAAGUUACAUGUCUAAAACAUUCUUUUAAAGUGAAACUAUACCUAUUUGAAUAUAAUAAAAAUAUUCAAUAAAAUAUUCUAUUUUCUUAUAAAACAAUAUUUAUAGUUACCGAUAAAUAAUUUUUGUAGUGUAAAAGCUAAAUAAAUUCAUACAUACUGUAAUAUAGAUAACCAAAGCAUAAGAUUUAAUUUACAGUGACACAUGAGCCCACGAACGACCAAAAGUAUCAAAAACAGUAAACCUACAGUUUUUGAGGAUGCUAGUCCAAAGGUAACCCUCGAUGAAAUCAGCUAUGUACAGCUUAUUCUGAGCCUGAAAUGGGUGGAAAGGAGGGUGGUGAGAUUAUAUAAUCCCAGUGAGUAAACAAACAUCAUCCAAAAUAUCUAAAAUCGAGUAAAUGGAGAUGAUUACAAUAAAUCAUCAUACUGUAAUUUAUCACCUUUCAACUCAUUUAACCAAUUAAAAUCAAUUCAUUUAAAUUGAGUAAUCAACAUGGCUUUUGAAUUUCUUAAAACUUGGCUCGUGCCAAAAUUAUUCUCAUACUCAGUUGUCAAGGAUACCUUGGUCGAGGGCUAUCCCAAGCCGAGUCCGCCAAGGUUAUUAAAAAAUUAUGUACGCAUAAAACAUGUUUUUAUUUUGAAAACAUAGUCAUUCCUUGGCGUUGGCUGAGUUCACCCUCACGUGGUGGUUUGGCGUGAAAUGAACUCUAAAAUUGUACCUCGGGAGUUAUCCUACAUGCCUUUCCAACUGAGGUAAAAUAUAAAGGGGUUUACCGUGCCCCUCUAAUAGGCUGGUCCACAAAAACUCGCCCACUGCAACAAGCUAAACCCACCAUACAAUAAAAUUUGCAAUAGCAUGACAUGGCAAUUAUUUUAUUUUACAACCUUUCAAGGCAAAUCAACAGUUCAUAUAUUUCAGCACAUUUAGAAAUUCAAUCAUUCAUGCCAAUAUUGCAAUAAGCCAAUCAAUUAGAACCAUAAAUUUACAACACAAUUAAGUGGUCUCCAAUUAUUUUAUUUUCAAAGCCAUCAUUCAAUUUCAAGACAAUUUAUAAAAUCAUUUCAUUUAAACUCAUUUUGUUUAUAAAACAUAAAGAUUUUCCAUUUAAACUCAUUUUUCAUAAAAUCACAAAAACUAAUUAAAAUUCACUUCAAAUAAUCAAGAUGAUGAUAAGGUUACUCACAGUAUCAGGAGUUUGAAAUACUCUUAUUCUCAGUCCUCUGACACAACGUCUUUACCCUUGUUAGAGGGCUCACCACCUAUAUACAAUACACAACACAUAAUUCAAUAUACUGUGUCAUACCAUUAUAAAUCUAUUUUAGGCUCUUUACUAAUGCAUGAAAUGGGAUGCAAAUUGUUCAGAUUAUCGUCUAAACACAAUAUUUUACACAAUUUCAAUUGUGUACCUAAAUAAAACGAUAUUGGCCUAAUUCGAUCUAUCACCCGAUUAAUUGGUCAAUAUGUCCAAUUCAACACCAAUUAACUCCAUUUUUCUUCCAAUUCUCCAAACCAUCAAACACAAGUCAAAUAACAUAAAAUUUAGCAAAAUCAUCUUCACAUUUUCUCUUGAGAAUUUCGGCCAUGGUGGGUGCAUCAACACUAUGAUUUUUCCUACUUGAUUUUCUCACCAUAAUUCAUCAUUUUCUAACCAAUUCACUUGAAAUAAAAUCAAAUCCAUCAUCAACACUCUACAAGGAAGAUUCGGCCAAUGAUGAACUCAUGAGGAAUAUGUGAAUUUCUAGCUUAAUUCUUACACUUAACACCAUAAACAACUAAAAACAUCCAUAUAUCUUAAAAAUCUAUCUAAAUAAUCAUCAAAUUCUCUCUCCUAGGGUUUGAUUAGCAAGAUACCCAUCAUUAAAUCAUGUGAUUCAACCAUGGAAAAUGCAAAAGAAUGCAUGGGAAAGGUAGAUCACAAGUCAAAAUCAAGAAAUUUUACCUUUGAUUGCUUGAUUACUUGAAAUCCACCAAUUUUCUCUUGAAUUUUCACUCUAGGGUUUUUGUUCUUCUUUUCUUCCUUUGUUCUUGCUAUGAU